GGAGACAGCUGAGGUGGGGCAGGGCCCUGGGCUCAGGCCACAGAGAAGCCGGCACCCCACCCCACAUUCUGUCCUUCCCGGAAUGGAGGGCCCCCUGGGGUCUCAGCAGAGCUGCCUGCUGGUCUGGAGGCCAGCAGUCCAAACUCCAGGGCUCUGGGGGAGUCUUUCCUCAGCUCUUCACCUCUGGGUCCCAAGCACCCCUUGGCUUGUGGCAGCCCCCCUCCAGUUUCCGCCUCCAUUCCCCCACUGCCUCCUCCCCUCUGGGCCUGGUCUCCAGUCUCCUUCUGCCUGCACCUCCCGAGGACACCAGUCCUUGGACGCGGGGCCCGCCCAGAUAAGCCAGGAUCUCAUCGAGAGACCGUUAACCAACUACAUCUGCAAAGACCCUCUUUCCCAAUCAGGCCGCCUGCACAGGUCUGGUUUAGGACACGGACGUAUCCUUUGGGGGGACUGCCAUUUACUGGGGUCUCAUGGCAGCUUCUUUGGGGUUCCCCCACGGCCUGUGACUGCAGACUCUUUCUGCCUAGUGUCCACUUGUCACAGCCACAGCCUUGGGCAUCGGUACCCUGGCGGGUGCCCCUGGCGGCCUUGACCUUGCCACAGGGUCCUCGCUUCUCCCACAGGGUCCCCCAAGCCUGCACAGCGAGGUCAGCCGUUGGGACCGUUCCAGAGCCCAUUCUCUCCUCCUGGGGGUGGGCAGGGUUCAGGGACUGCCGUCCCCUCCCCCGCUGCAGUCGGUUGGGCGCUGGGAUGACAGUCCGCCAGCGCUGAGCCCCGGCCUCCUCUCGGAGGGUCAGGGGACCACAGAGCAGCCUUCACGUGACCCUGAAGCCACCGCUGUGCCCAGUGCUUGCGCACACUCCCUCUCUCUCUCUCUCUCUCUCUCUCUCUCUCUCAACAGCUGCUAACUAGUGCCAGUUACAAGAAACAGAAACCCAGCUCCCUCGGCUGAGAGACGCAAGGAGAGUGACAUGCAAAUCAAGCCCAGAGUGAGAUGCCCCUGGGAAGGUGCCGGCUCUACCAUCAACAACGAAGCAGAAAAGAACUAGGGUUGGGGAGGAUGUGGCGAGACGGGAGCCCGGGGGCCUCGCCAUUGGGAAUGAACACGGGUGGGAGGCGGGAGGUGGUGUGGAACUGGAACCAGAGAAUGGCUCUGUGACCAAGUGAUUGCCCUUGAGACCCACAAGAAGAACCCAGAGCAGGGUGGCCACAGGUACGCGCACACCCGAGUUCACAGCAACGUGGCUCACGAUCGUCAGCAGGUGGGAGCCACCCCGGUGUCCGUCAUCCGAGGACGGACAAGCUGAUGGGUGUCUCUCAGCCUCACACAGGCAGGAAGCCCUGCCACCUGCUGCGGCAGGCAAGGAAGGGCCUGGAAGGCGUGGUUUAGGGGAAAUGAGCCGGCACAACGGAAAGUGGAAGGGCGGUGCCGGGGGCGCGAGGGGAGGGGGCGCUUCUGGUUCCCGGCCCGAGGGUCAGGUUGGGACGACGAAGCCGUUCUUGACGUUGACGGCUGGCCACAUGGCAGCGCACAAGUGCCCAGUGCCGGAGCCGAGCCCUUACGGUAACUGUGUCAGGUGUAUUUUGCCUCAAACUUCGAAAGGUUGAAAAUACCUGCACGAGAAAAAAACGACAGAUUAGACAACUAUGGGGACAUUGAUGUCCCGUGAGGACGCACUCAUUCAGCCUGUCUGCCUGCUUUUGUUUUUUGGUUUUUAAAUACUAUUUUCACAGUGAAACUUAAAAAUGAAAAAGGGGAGCCCUGGCCGGUGUGGCUCAGUGGAUCGAGUGCCGGCCUGUGAACUCAAAGGUCACCGCUUCGAUCCCCGAAAGUGGAACCCGAGGGACCCACCUGCUUCUUCAUGUGUCUGUGACAAUGACGCCCCCACGCCCUGGGCCGCACCAGCCGUCUUCGCUCG